CCUACGGGUGGCAGCAGUGGGGAAUAUUGCACAAUGGAGGAAACCCUGAUGCAGCGACGCCGCGUGAGUGAAGAAGUCAUUCGUUAUGUAAAGCUCUAUCAGCAGGGAAGAAAAUGCCGGUACCUGAGUAAGAAGCCCCGGCUCACUACGUGCCAGCAGCCGCGGUAAUACGUAGGGUGCAAGCGUUAUCCGGAUUUACUGGGUGUAAAGGGGGCGUAGGCGGCUGUGCAAGUCUGGAGUGAAAUGCGGGGGCUCAACCCCCGGACUGCUCUGGAAACUGUACGGCUGGAGUGCAGGUGAGGUAAGUGGAAUGUCUAGUGUAGCGGUGAAAUGCGUAGAGAUUAGGAGGAACACCAGUGGCGAAGGCAGCUUACUGGACUGCAACUGACGUUGAGGCUCGAAAGCGUGGGGAGCAAACAGGAUUAGAUACCCUGGUAGUC
rnacentral:rRNA from 1 species